rnacentral:rRNA from 1 species
GACGAACGCUGGCGGCGUGCUUAACACAUGCAAGUCGAACGAUGAUGCCCAGCUUGCUGGGCGGAUUAGUGGCGAACGGGUGAGUAACACGUGAGUAACCCGCCCUUGACUUCGGGAUAACUCCGGGAAACCGGGGCUAAUACCGGAUAUGAGCCGUCCUCGCAUGGGGGUGGUUGGAAAGUUUUUCGGUCAGGGAUGGGCUCGCGGCCUAUCAGCUUGUUGGUGGGGUGAUGGCCUACCAAGGCGACGACGGGUAGCCGGCCUGAGAGGGCGACCGGCCACACUGGGACUGAGACACGGCCCAGACUCCUACGGGAGGCAGCAGUGGGGAAUAUUGCACAAUGGGCGAAAGCCUGAUGCAGCGACGCCGCGUGAGGGAUGAAGGCCUUCGGGUUGUAAACCUCUUUCAGCAGGGAAGAAGCGCAAGUGACGGUACCUGCAGAAGAAGCGCCGGCUAACUACGUGCCAGCAGCCGCGGUAAUACGUAGGGCGCAAGCGUUGUCCGGAAUUAUUGGGCGUAAAGAGCUCGUAGGCGGUUUGUCGCGUCUGGUGUGAAAACUCGAGGCUCAACCUCGAGCUUGCAUCGGGUACGGGCAGACUAGAGUGCGGUAGGGGAGACUGGAAUUCCUGGUGUAGCGGUGGAAUGCGCAGAUAUCAGGAGGAGCACCGAUGGCGAAGGCAGGUCUCUGGGCCGCAACUGACGCUGAGGAGCGAAAGCAUGGGGAGCGAACAGG